CUCCUUCACUCCUCUUCUCUCUUUCUUCUCCUUUCUUUGAACAGCAAGCAAAACCCUAGCAAGCUUCUUCUCCUCCUUCUCCUACUGCCCAGCCGAAAGCACCUUCUUCCUUUCUUUCUUCUUGUUGCAGCAACAACAACCCAGCCGAGCUUCCUCUUCUCCUUCCCUUCAACCUUCUUGCUGCAGAAAUAAAACCCAGCCGAGACACCCAAGCUUAUCUCCUCUUUCUCUUGUUCUAGAUUUUAAAACCUGCAAAGACUAAGAACAAAAAACCAGCCAUAGAAAUACCAACGAAAAAUAAAAAACCAGCAAAGGAAAAAGAAUAAAAACACCACAACAAUUGAUUUCGGAGUUCCCUCUAAAUCAGAGGUACGUCUCCGUCAAGCGACCCUCAAAGUUGCUUGAAUCUCACUAUGAAUCUCAAAAAACCGGUUACAAGUUAUGGAGAUUCCAUGCCACAAAAGCUAGCAGGUUGAUUACAAAGGAAACACAAGGCUACUGCCUUUAUUUUUCUGCUGGGCCGAAAUGGUUCUCUUCUUUAAAUGAGAAGGUUGAACCUCAUAUUUAUAAUAUUGUUUGUUGCUGGCUGUGUUGUGUUUGAGCUGAGAAAUAGAUAUAUUCUGUUGUGAUAUUUUCCUUGUAAAGCUGAAAGUUUGUUAGAGUCUUGAGAUAUUUUGUUUGCUUCUUCAUAUUGUAAAGAGAAAUAAAGAUCUAGGCCUAUGACAACAGAACCGACAACUCUAUGAGUUAUAAUGGUCUGUUGAGGCUUUGUAAAUAGAUCUAAUUUAUUUUCCUUGUAACUUUAUUUAUGGGACAAUAGUAUGGGAAUUUAUCCAACAGAGAGGAACCCUUUUCUUUAAUUUUUGGUUGAAUUAAAACCAUGUAAUAAGAUGCAAAAGUUGAGAUUAGUUGUGUUGGAUCUCCAGCUUGGGAGAAAAGGUUUUGGCUCUAUUAUUAUUAUUACUAUUAUAUUAUUCAAAGGAUAAAGAGUAAGGAACUA